rnacentral:rRNA from 1 species
UACGUAUGGAGCAAGCGUUAUCCGGAUUUACUGGGUGUAAAGGGAGCGCAGACGGCAGGGCAAGUCUGAUGUGAAAGUCCGGGGCUCAACCCCGGGACUGCAUUGGAAACUGUCUGGCUAGAGUGCAGGAGAGGUAAGUGGAAUUCCUAGUGUAGCGGUGAAAUGCGUAGAUAUUAGGAGGAACACCAGUGGCGAAGGCGGCUUACUGGACAGUGACUGACGUUGAGGCUCGAAAGCGUGGGGAGCAA